rfam:Fusarium poae strain 2516 chromosome FPOA_2 Chr2, whole genome shotgun sequence.
GCGGGUUUAGCUCAGUUGGGAGAGCGUCAGACUGAAGCCAAACUUCAAUCAUCUACCGAUAUCUGAAGGUCGUGUGUUCGAUCCACACAAACCGCA